AUCAGAGUCAAGUAAAUAAGUUCCUCCUUCACAGGUGUUUUCUUUAAACUGGCCAAGCCACAACCCCCACAGGAGAACCUACAGAAUAAGGCCCAUGGACCCUACUUAAAGGCAGAGUCCCACAGCCCCGCCCUCUCUUGCUGGCUCUCUACCGCCUCCAGACUUCCUAUCCACCUCCACUGGGCGCCACUAACCUCUCUGGGUCUGUAUCAGAAGAGUAACUGGCUCACUGGAUUCCCUCUGCCUAGACUACCCUUCCCCUUAUUUUCAUAUUGCUAAUCCUCUUACCUCAUUCAAGUCUUUUCUCAAAUGUCCUUUAAAUGUGGUCUACCAUGGCCAUCAUAUUUAAAAUGUAAACCCUUAGCCCAUUUAAGAUGUCCAUGAUUUUCUUCUAUUGUACUCUAUUUUUGCUCCUUACCGUAUCUUAUCCACAAGGAUACUAUGUAGUUUACAUAUUCAACUGUCUAACCUUAGUCCUUCUGAGAUAAAAGAAGCUCCACCAUAGAACAGGGAUUCUUCUAUGUUUGUUCAGUGUAGGAUAAUUAACACGUAGUGUAUAUUCUGUAAAUAUUCACUGGAA
rnacentral:lncRNA from 1 species